CGGACGGGUGAGUAACACGUGAGCAACCUGGCUCUAAGAGGGGGACAACAGUUGGAAACGACUGCUAAUACCGCAUAACGUAUCGGGAUGGCAUCUUCCUGAUACCAAAGAUUUUAUCGCUUAGAGAUGGGCUCGCGUCUGAUUAGAUAGUUGGCGGGGGUAACGGCCCACCAAGUCGACGAUCAGUAGCCGGACUGAGAGGUUGAACGGCCACACUGGAACUGAGACACGGUCCAGACUCCUACGGGAGGCAGCAUG
rnacentral:rRNA from 1 species